UGUGAGUCACAGGACCUGUUUACUGAGGGCAGUAACCUCUGGGUGCUUUGGAGAAAGUAAGGACAGGAGCCACAGAAAUCAGAAUUGCAGUCUGAGCCGAUGAGAGCUGGAACAAGAGAAUAAACGUCUCUUUAAAUGAAAUCUUACACAGGCUGCCUUAAAGUUGCCUUGGAUAGGCCUUUCUCUAAAAGCCGUCUUGCAGCAGAUUAAUUAAUGCAGACAAACUUCUAUGUAUCUUUCUUCAGUUUCUUUAUCAGUUUCUUUAUAACAGCUUCUGAUGUUCCAGGCAGCCAAAGAUUAUGACAGAACAAAAUACUUCUCUGUAUUUAAUGAUCAUGUUUUUAAUUUGAAUCUGUCAGGAGAUUGGUUGAGUAGAGUCUGCAAAACUGUCAGGCAAAAGAAUCUUCUAAAAAUAAAAUGUUGCUCGCAAGAUACUCAGUGAGUGUGAGGUGAAGGAGUUCCAAUCUAUAAACAGGGUUAGGAAGAAUCGAACUUGAACUGACAGACUUUUUUUGGGACAUGGCCACGUUUCAAAGAUAUUUUAAAUGAGCCUAAAUCCUGACUGUGAAGAUUAGAUUUCUUUCUUCCUACAGUUCCAGGUACUCUCCAAAGCUCCUGCAAUGAAAGGGAAUGACACUGGAAAGCAUGUGUGGUGGCAGUGUCAAACACAAGCCUUCCAAAAAGGAAAAAUGCAUGAACUGCCUGGGGGUGCUUUGGAGCUGUGAUGUUCUGUAAAAUUUUAGCAUGGCACAGUUGAAAGGACCUAGUUAAGUGCUGCAGCCACAGUGCCUGGUGUGUUGUGCUGCAGUGACCAGUGGGUAUCUUACAGGCCUUAUUUCCAGCUCUAUUAUUUGACAUUGGCUGCAUGAAAAUGAAUACGAAAAUGCAGUGGCAAAUGAAGUUUGUGGUGGAGCUGCACACUUUCCUCCUAGUGAAAGACACAAAUAGGAACGUGGCAUGGGCAACCCCCGAUCUGAUGCUGAGCUACCUGGGGACUGGCUCAGGGCACACGUGUGUCCAGUUGUGCUGGGCUUCAGCCCUUUUGCAAAUUUGGCAGCGUUUAGACUCUCUCUGCUUUUGUGAGGAGCAGUAAUUAGGAAAGCAAUUUGCCUGUAUCUUUUCAGACUUCAUUGUUUUCUCCAUCUUCCUUU